UACGUAGGGGGCAAGCGUUGUCCGGAUUUAUUGGGCGUAAAGAGCGUGUAGGCGGUUUUACAGGUCCGCUGUGAAAACUCGAGGCUCAACCUCGAGACGCCGAUGGAAACCGUCUGGCUAGAGUCCGGAAGAGGAGAGUGGAAUUCCUGGUGUAGCGGUGAAAUGCGCAGAUAUCAGGAAGAACACCCGUGGCUAAGGCGGCUCUCUAGUACGGUACUGACGCUGAGACGCGAAAGCGUGGGGAGCGAACAGG
rnacentral:rRNA from 1 species